rnacentral:misc_RNA from 1 species
GUACAAGGUUUCCGUCGCCUAAGUCAUGCGCUGGAAUGGAUGAUUCCUUCCGCGGUGUACACUUAUGGAAGCCUUUGCAGCCACGCAAGUGGUAGACCCGAAGCGACUGUAAACAAGUUUGGUGUCGUGAUGCAAGUCAGCGGUCCGCUGGCGACACUUUCGAAUUGACGGGGACACCCUAAAGCCGAUCGCACCAACCCGUGCGGGGAAACCUCACGGGGGCCUGUGGUAACGACACAGGGGACGGUAACAGACGAUCCGGAUAGUUCUGCCUGGCAGAGAGGAUGGGUAAUCCGCAGCGAAGCCCCUACGUCGCGCCCCCCUCCGGGGGCUCGAUACGGGGAACGUUCACAGACUAAGUGGAAGUGGGUGGGGUCCCCAGGCCUGGGACCCUGCUUAAGAUAUAGUCGGGCCACCUGGGAGACCAGGUGGGAAGUACACCGCUACGAACCGUUCCGUAGGUGAACCUGCGGAAGGAUCAUUACCGAGUGAGGGUCCCCUCCGGGGGGCCCAACCUCCCACCCGUGUCUACUGUACCAUGUUGCUUCGGCGGGCGCGCCCGUGCCCGCCGGAGACCCCUUGAACGCUGUUGUGAAUGAGGUUGUCUGAGUGAGAUUGCAAACUGUCAAAACUUUCAACAACGGAUCUCUUGGUUCCGGCAUCGAUGAAGAACGCAGCGAAAUGCGAUAAGUAAUGUGAAUUGCAGAAUUCCGUGAAUCAUCGAAUCUUUGAACGCACAUUGCGCCCCCCGGCAUUCCGGGGGGCAUGCCUGUCCGAGCGUCAUUGCCACCCCUCAAGCACGGCUUGUGUGUUGGGCCGCCGUCCCCCCCCCGACCCCGGGGGGGGACGGGCCCGAAAGGCAGCGGCGGCACCGCGUCCGGUCCUCGAGCGUAUGGGGCUCUGUCACCCGCUCCGGAGGCCUGGCCGGUGCCCGCCCACCCGUCGAUCUUUCCAGGUUGACCUCGGAUCAGGUAGGGAUACCCGCUGAACUUAAGCAUAUCA